GCAAUGGCAGUCCAGUGGUAGAAUUCUCGCCUUCCAUGCAUGAGACCUGGGUUUGAUUCCCACCCAGUGCG
rnacentral:tRNA from 1 species